CAGAAGGAGUUGAUAUAUCCCUUCUCCUCUUCCUUCUUUAUCCCUUUUGAUGGAAAAUCUUACUGGAAUAUACAUAUUAUAUACUUCUUGUAUAAAUUCCUCCAACAAUAGUUUCUCAGAGGAUAGCUGUAAAUGGGCCUUCACAGAUAUAAAUAUCACAUUGAGUACAACUAAGUACAAAUACAAAACAUUUCAAUGAAAGAAGCAGCCCUUGAGAGUUCAAUUUUUCUGGCCAUGGUAAAUUUGGCCCAGUAGGGGGCAAUCCUGCCAAAGAACUUUAUCAACAUUUCAUUUCACUUCAUUUCUUCCCAAGUCCAUUGCAAAACAUAUCUUUGAAAUCAGCAGACCAGUCUAAAGGUUUUUUGCUUAAUGGGUUCAACCUUUCAUAAAGGAAACUGAAAAAUCCAACUACUAGGAGCGUCUCCUAGUGAAAACUCUUGUGUUCCCAAUAUUGGACACAGACCAGAGAGUAACUGCAACCAUAGACUAAUUACAUCAACUUUCCUUGGGUUACCUUUGAGCUCCCAAACCUUUUUAGACGGGAAAACCAAUAACUACAACAUGUGGACCUGGAUGAACAGGGCAAGAAGAAAGAAGAACUACUGGCAUAUCAUGGAGUUGUGCUGAAGGACACAGAGUGUUAGAGAGGGAGGUCAGCUGUUACCAACAGUGCUAUGGAGUUUGAAGAGGUGCAAGCAGAGGCAAAAGGAAGAAACGUGUCAAGAGGAAAGCAGGUCAAGCAAACCCAUACCAGGACCACCACCCAUCUGGAAAUUCAUUACCUCCUCCGAAUGAACUCCAAAAUAAGCUGCUGAGACAUCGUGACUAGAAUAUCAACGGGAUCUCUCUUUUGCUUCCCCCCCCCCCCCCCCUAUAAGAGACAAUUGUGAUUAAACUGAUGUAACUAGCCACCAGACUUUGGGCUAUUUCCAUUUAUGAAAUAUAUUCCUUUUCCAUCGAAGAGCUCAGUGGAUCUAGAGAUAUUUUCCUCUUUAACAGAUGAGAAGCAAUAUUUAUUCUUGCCAGAUGUCUUCUGUUUUCCUGCAGACAGCAGCUCUGCAAUCUUUCUGGGAGAGCGAUGCCAUUGCUGCUGGUAUUUACUGGGGUUUAUAGUCUAGACAGCUGUGAUUUCUUUUCUUUGUUUGAUCUGGAUGCAUUUGUUCCUUUGCCCUUUCCCUUUGCCAUGGAGAAACGCUGAUUACACAGGGAGACUAAUUUUCCCUGCUGGGUGAUUGAAAAAUUUGUGGCUGAAAAUUGGCACAUGGACCACCUUUACCAUCUCAAACACUAAUGUGCUUUGCUAGAUUUCAUAGUCUGGACAAUGUUUUUGAAGGUUUGUUUCACACUUUCACUGUCAUUUCAAAUCAUGGGAACCCUUUAUUUUUAAGGGAGCACCUACUUCACAAUCUGAAUCAAAAUAAAAAUGUAAGCAAAAAGUUUUGAGGGGAGAUUCGAAUAGAAAUAAGGUUGCCAGGUGUCUCUUACUAAGGAGAAACGCCUUAUUUGAGAGCCAGAAACUUGUUCCUUAUUAUAAGGAAUUUCCCCUUUUCAAGGGCUGGAAAUGGAAAGCUUUUCCUAUUACAGUAUAUAGAUGGAAAAAUGAAAGAUGCUGAUUUCAGUGGAAACUAUGUCUGUCAUUCAUAUAUAUGUAUGUAUGUAUGUAUGUAUGUAUGUAUGUAUGUAUAUAUAUAUGACAAUGCAAAGCUGUGCCAAAAUGGCAGGAUGACAACUGCUUUCCAAAAUGGCAAUAAAUUUACAGGGAGGAAUUUUUGGCAGGUUUAUGGCAACUAUUUACAAAGGGAGCUGUUCAAAUCUUUACAGGUAAGAAAAAUGAGGUCAACUUCAACAACUCCUUUGUGUAAAGUGGAAUCUGUCUUCUGCUUCAUUUGUUGGACAUUUGAGAGCUUGAUUAUUAACUGAUUGUUACUCCCUGAUCCUGAAGAUGCUGAAGAAACCACACAUCAAACUUGUUCUUCCACCCUCUUUCUAAUAUAUACAACUGUAAUUAACAGUAACUUGAAAUAAGGGCAGACAACUUAAUAUCUGAUAGGUGAUAAAGGUAAAGGUUUUCCCCUUACAUUAAGUCUAGCCGUGUCUGGCUCUGGGGGUUGGUGCUCAUCCCCAUUUCUAAGACAAAGAGCUAUGCCAGCAUGACUUUAUGAAGAGCCGUUACCUUCCUGCCGGAGCGGUAUCUAUUGAUCUACUCACAUUUGCAUGUUUUCGAACUGCUAGAUCAGCAGAAGCUGGGGCUGACAGCAGGAGCUCACUCCGUUCCCCAGAUUCAAAUCAUCUGCCUUUCGAUCAGCAAGUUCAGCAGCUCAGUGGUUUAAUUCGCUGCACCACAGGGGACUCCUCUGAUAGAUGAGAUAUAUGUAUAUUUCCUAAUUCCCACUAGCCUCAGUCAUCCAUGGUCAGUGAUUGCGGGAGUUGUAGUCUAAAACCUUUGCAAAGGUCAUUCUCAGAGCAUAAGAAACAUGCUAGUAUUCAGUGCAUCGAUAUAUUAAAAUGUUGCUCAUCUGAAAAUAAAGGAUUUAUUACCCACACCAUUCCGACAGAGCAAUGAUUGUUCAAAUGAACUCUAGAUAAAAAUAAGUCAACUCUACAUACAGAAGCACUCUCAGAAUAACAUUAUAGCCAGGGUUCUAGUCUAUUCUGUAUUUAACAUAGUGAUCAAUCUAACUCCAAAAUCAUGAAGCCCUAAUUUAGUAUUCUGACUCUCACUUUUUCAUGGUUGGACAGAGAUGAUGCUCCUCCACUAGAUGUGUAAUUGAGCCCAGAAAAGGAACAACUUAGUAUAAAAGAAUAAAUGUUUAAAUGUAUUGGUUCAGCAUUGCCAUCUGCUUCUAUUCAGUGUUAAAAUAGUUAUUUAAACAUGUGGGAAAUAGCUAAAAAUAUGGGUGGCCACUUGAAUGAACAUGACUGAUGUUCCAUAAUGCCACACAUUGUGUUUUUGUGCUCAUACCGGCCUUUCAAGGAUCAAAUCCAAAUAAAGAUGGACUGUUUCAGACCAUAAUAAUUGGAAGAUUGUGGAAGCAGUAGUUCAAAAAACAAUUUCUCAAUUUUUGUUCCUACUCUCAUUUAUACCUUAUAGUAUUACCCGAGGAAUUCUCCAUUAGUUGGCCUCUGCCUGUUUGCUACAAAGCCCUAAACGGUUCUGGUCCUGCCUAUCUAUCCGAACGUAUCUCCUCCUAUGAGCCCAUUAGAACCUUAAGAUCUUCCGGGGAGGCCCUGCUCUCGAUCCCACCUGCCUCGCAGGCGCGGCUGGUGGGGAUGAGGGACAGGGCCUUCUCGGUGGUGGCUCCUCGGCUGUGGAACUCCCUCCCCAGCGAUAUCCGGCAAACCCCAUCCCUCCUGGGAUUUAGAAGAAAACUAAAAACUUGGCUCUGCGCCCAGGCAUUCAGCGAAUAAGCUCAUGGGCUGAUG